UACAGUAACUCUUUGUUGUUGCUGUCUGGGUGAGUGAAUCCCAAAUCCCCUUCCCCCCCCUCCCCCUCCCCGACAGAGCUGGGACCAGAGCCAGGAGGAUCCCAGCCGAGCAGCCUCUGCCAGCAGGGACAACACCCAGAGCUGGCUGCACCAGACAAUGUUAAGUCUCCGGUCACCCCAAGUGACUCAGCCCCGUGACGGUUACAGCUGUUCUGAAGAAGCUGGGACAAGCCCGUGUGCAUGCGCCGUGUGAGCGGUUAGGUGAUAAAUAAGAGGACGUGGAGAUGCUCAUGUAUGAGAAGAAAUAUGGUAUGAUUGGAAUUCCCAGUUCUCCGCGGGCUCCACUUCCUGUAUCAGCCUGUGGCUAGUAGGGGCUGGUGACCUUCGAGGAGGUGGCUGUGUAUUUCACCCA